rnacentral:rRNA from 1 species
AACGAACGCUGGCGGCAUGCCUAACACAUGCAAGUCGAACGAGAUCUUCGGGUCUAGUGGCGCACGGGUGCGUAACGCGUGGGAAUCUGCCCUUUGGUUCGGAAUAACAGUUGGAAACGACUGCUAAUACCGGAUGAUGACGAAAGUCCAAAGAUUUAUCGCCAGAGGAUGAGCCCGCGUAGGAUUAGCUAGUUGGUGUGGUAAAGGCGCACCAAGGCGACGAUCCUUAGCUGGUCUGAGAGGAUGAUCAGCCACACUGGGACUGAGACACGGCCCAGACUCCUACGGGAGGCAGCAGUGGGGAAUAUUGGACAAUGGGCGAAAGCCUGAUACAGCAACGCCGCGUGAGUGAUGAAGGCCUUAGGGUUGUAAAGCUCUUUUACCCGGGCUGAUAAUGACAGCACCGGGAGAAUAAGCUCCGGCUAACUCCGUCCCAGCCGCCGCCGUAA